rnacentral:rRNA from 1 species
GACGUAGGUGGCGAACGUUAUCCGGAAUCAUUGGGCGUAAAGGGUGCGUAGAUGGCAUGAUAAGUUAUUAGUGGGAAAUCGAGGCUCAACCUCGUGGAAGCUAGUAAUACUGUUUUGCUUGAGUACAGAAGAGGUUAACGGAACUCCAUGUGGAGCGGUAAAAUGCGUAGAUAUAUGGAAGAACACCAAUUGCGAAGGCAGCUAACUAAGCUUUAACUGACGCUGAGGCACGAAAGUGUGGGGAUCAAACAGG